GGGCGAUUAGCUCAGUUGGUAGAGCGCUUCGUUUACACCGAAGAUGUCGGGAGUUCGAGUCUCUCAUCGCCCACCA
rnacentral:tRNA from 499 species